rnacentral:lncRNA from 1 species
UGUGAUCUGGGAGUAAGCAUUAUUAGAUUAUUUUAAUAAAGCAGUUCAAAGAGGAAAAUAUGCUUAAACAAACAUUUGAAAAAUUAGAAGUUCGAAAUGGGAGUAGGGGUGCAGACAAUGAGAUGAGCAAUGAGGGGGGAGAAGGGUAUUCCAGGCGGAUGGAACAACAGAUACAAAGACACAGAGCAAGGGUCAACAAACUACAGCUCCUGGCUCAAACCCAGCCCUUGACUAUUUUUGUAAGCGAAGUUUCAUUGGAACACAGCCAUAUCCACUUGUUUACUCGUCAUCUACUAUUGUUUCGAACCUCUGGCAUAGAGGCACCAGAAGCACAGUAAAGAGAAUGAGAGGUAGCAAACUACUGCUACCCAGUUUGCAGUGAACUGUUCAUGUGGAAGAGGGACAGUAAAUAAAGCCAGUUAGCAGGAGCCAGGUGAUGAAGGGCCUCACAGGCCAUGAAAAGGGUUUACAUAGGGAGCAGGUGUUAGGUAAUUGGAUGCACCGCAGAGGACAGAGUGGAUAGGGGAGAGACUGGAGGCUGAGAGGCCAGUUAAGAGGCAAGGGAAAUAGAAGAUGGGAGUUUGGUUCCCACGGUGAUUUAAAUAAAGGGGAGGGGGUACAAUUUCAAAAAAAUUUUCAGAGACAGAUUAUGCUAACUUUGUGAAUAUUUUGAUUCAAAUGAGUACAAAGAAGAGCAAGAACAGACCAUGGCUCCCCGGCCUCUGAAUGGGAUGAACUGGUCCAUGAUGGUGCCAUCCUCCAAGACUGAGAUUCCAGAGGAAGAGUUAUGAGAAAGGGGAAGGAUAUAAUUUCGGUCAUGGACACUUUGAAGUUGAGACGACACUGAGACAUCCAAAUGGGGAAAUAUUGAUCUGCACAAAUAGGCAGUGUGGAUUGAGUAAACAGUUUAUCAAAGAAUAAUCAAAACCCUGAUUGUGGUUAGCCUGCUUAAGGAAAGCACAGAUGGUGAUACAUACAGUGAAGAGAUGGGAUGGUGGGAGGGGUGAUGCAAUAAUUGAUCCAUUAGGGAACAACAGCCAGGCGUUGGGAGGAUGAGAAGAUUUUGCCAAUAGUUUGUAAUGGUGAUCAAACAUGGCAAGAACAACUGGUAUCUCAGGAAUCACAUAAAUUUCAAUCCUUAUGUGAUAUAGACAGGAGGCCCAGGUGGUGAAGGGCAAUGAAAGAAGCUGAGAAGACCAGGCAUGUGAGUAUGUUUUCAGCUGAUGACAACCAGUUUGAAGACCCCCAAAAGAAGAACCAAACUGCAUGAGAAUUCAGUUUCUUCAUCUCCCUACCCCAUGAUUUCACCUUGUUCUCUCUGACCAAUAACCAUCUCCCCACUUUGGCCCUCUCCAAAACCCUUAAAAAUUCUAAGCCCAAACUCCCCAGGGAGACAGAUUUGAGGUUUCCUCCCAUCUCCUCAUUCAAUGGCUCUGCAAUUAAACCUGUUUCUCUGCCGCAGCCUGGUAUCUCAGCAUAUUGACUUGCCACGUGCAUCAAGCAACAAACCUUUUACUGUUAUACUACUCAAAAUAUGCCUCUUUGGAAUGAGGACUAUUUUGAGCUGGUUAUUUAGAGAAACUGCAGACACACACAAAAAAACUCUGAAAUGAAGAGUAGAAGUUACCCUAUUGUAAGAGAAAUUUACAACUAUAAAGGAAAUCUCCAUUUAUAAGGGUGUUUCCCUCUCUCCAUCAGGAAGAGAAGGAUGACUAAAUCACUAGAAAAACCCAUCAAUGGAAAAAGCAUCAGUUUAAAUCUCCAUAACAAAUCUUACUCUUGUUUACAGUGUUUUUUCCUGGCCACCUACCUAUAACUGGGACUUUCCCCCAAACUCUUCUUACUUUGUUUCAAGGGAUGAUCAUAUUUAAGCCUGAAAAGUAAUACAACUCUUCGAGAUCUACUCUUUAUAGUUACUCUUGGAGAAUUUAUUCUUUGAGAUUUUCCUAUGUAUCUCCCAUGUAUAUAGGGUAUACAUGUUAUUAAA